GUGAACGCUGGCGGCGUGCCUAACACAUGCAAGUCGCACGAUGAUAGAGCUCUUGCUCUCUUGCUUAGUGGCGCACGGGUGAGUAUACCAUAGAUAAUGUACCUCUUAGUUCGGGAUCGCCACUGGAAACGGUGAUUAAUACCGGAUACUCCUUCUUACUCUAAGGUAAGUCGUGAAAGUUUUUUCGCUAAGAGAUCAGUCUAUGUCCUAUCAGCUAGUUGGUGAGGUAAUGGCUCACCAAGGCUAUGACGGGUAUCUGGUUUGAGAGGAUGAUCAGACACACUGGAACUGAGACACGGUCCAGACUCCUACGGGAGGCAGCAGUGAGGAAUAUUGCACAAUGGAGGAAACUCUGAUGCAGCAACGCCGCGUGGAGGAUGACGCAUUUCGGUGUGUAAACUACUUUUAAGAGGGAAGAUAAUGACGGUACCUCAUGAAUAAGCACCGGCUAACUCCGU
rnacentral:rRNA from 1 species